rnacentral:tRNA from 3 species
GGGGUCGUGGGGUAGCAUGGACAUCCUAUCGGGCUCCGGACCCGAUGACCUGGGUUCAAAUCCCAGCGACUCCG